UUUUUUUUUUACAGACAUCCAACAUUUCUGCCACUCUUCACUUGACAACAGAUGAUGUCACACAUGAUCCUCUAUCUUCAUUGGCUAGACAAAGCAGGGUAAAGCUACCUACGAAUUGCGCUCAUUAGCUAACUCAUAUUAGCAGUACAGUGAAAACACAGAGGGGAAAGAUCGUCGCCCCGAACGCAACUAAAUUGGGAUCUCCGAAGGAAAUGACCGCGAAAAGACCGGAAAUGCGUCAUACCGGAUAAGUCCGGUUUAGGACAAUAGCGGCGAGCAACAUCCGGCUUAGGAAACAGUGACGCUAAUUCACAGUUCCUCCUCCUUCAGGCCUGGCUGUUUUGGGGGACAGAACUCGGAGGACCACAGUGUUUCCACAGCAGGCCGCACAGGAGAGCUCUGCUGGAAUGCUGCUAAGCUGCAGAUGUACCAGCCAAAUUACUCCAGAGGGGAAUUACCAGGCCAUAAAUCCAGACGUCAGGAGGAUGGCUGUAGCCUAUUUCACGUUUCCUGUUUUCCUGAGCGACUCCCCUGACCCAGCUGGCAGGCCUGCCUGCCCUGAAGAGCACUUUCCCUUUCCUCACUCUGCAUUGGGCCGGCAGGGAAGAAGGGAGGGAGGGAAGGAGGGUUUGGGGUGAGGGGAGGAGGGGGUCUAACUUAAUCUGACCCAUUGCUCAGGUCAGUGAGCUGCUUACCGGGUCUAUCCAAACAUAGGGGCUUGUUUUGCUAAAGCUGUGGAAAGAAGAAGUACCCUCUUAAAUCAAUGCUUUACUCAGAGCUGUGCACAUGCAAGGUUGUUAUGCGUGAAACCACAGGAGGCAGAGCUGGCACACAACCAGCAGCGUGCUCCUCUCCUUCGCACUCCCCUCGCCAUGAAGGCGAAGAAAGAAAAAAGAAAACACUCCUCCGUCCACAGCCAAAAACUUUUUCAACAUCACAAGCUGUAAUGCUGCAUUUUUUUAAAGCAUAGCUGGGCGACAAUUUCCCUCCCAAUUGCUAUGGUGCACUCAAACGCAACAGCAUUUUCAUUUAGGCCUGACACAGCGUGUGCUCUUCCUAUGACAAAAGGGAAUUGCACUCUAAAAUGCAUCCAGCUGUGUGUGCUUAACUUUUUCUCUUGACAUAUUUUCACCAAAAAACGUCCGGCCCUGAUCUAAUCGUGACGCUGCAGAGAGACCAGACUGAGCAGCGCACAAGUAUGUUUGUUGUGCAUGGACUGGAGCGGUUUGAGUUUUUACUGUUCAGGUAUCAUAUGAUCUAAAGAGGAAUGCAGAAAUCAGCCAGAUUUAUUGUUCCUGUUUGCAAAGGCAAAGAGAGAAAUGUUUCCUCUAGCUCAAGGAGGCGUUUAAGGCAUCUUUGAAGUAGCUGUAAGACUUCUCAGGGCACUAAACUGCCUUGUUACAGAGAAGACCAGAUGCAUUGCACACUAUGGAGGUGAAUUGUCGUUUAGAUUUAUUUUUUAUGAGCGCCCAAAGGCACUUCUCUCCAACGGACGCUUUGUUUUCAGAGAGGUAGGGUGUUGUGAAGUCGUCCUGCCUGACACCGGAAAGGGAGAGAGGAAUUCACAUUAUGUCUCUUCUGCAGUUAUAACUUAAACACCUGUGCGAGGUAUUUUCCCAAACGGAUAUGGCUAAAUGCUGUAAACUUGAACCCAGAUAUAUAAAUAUAUGGGACUUUGAACAGACAAGGCCACUGGUUAAAAGGCUGUUAUUGUGACUGUAAACAAAGGCUCUAAUUCGCCAUAAUGGUUCUAUGGGUCCAAUGCUCUGGGAGAUGCAAUGGCCAGUCUCAGUAGCUUAAUUAUCUUCCCUAAUUUGUAUUAGCACUGGCUAUCCUCUCAGGGAUAAUUAUGUAUCUAGUGUGUGAGCGAGCUUAAUGAGGUUAACUUAAGUCUUUACAUGGAAUAAGGGUUCAGUCACCUUAGAGGGAGAAAAAAAGCCCCACACCGCUGCUGAUUGCCGUGUUUUUCUCCUAUAUAGAUGAUGACCAUGAAGCCUUGUAAAUCCCAGUGGGGUGCAGAGGUACAGUGAACUUAUUCUCAGAGGUAACACCAAGCAGAGGAGACGGGAAGUUAGUUUGUGGUUCUGGUUGAAGGAUGGUCAGUUUAAUCGGUGCUCCACAAUAGCUAAACCUCGUCCAUGUUGACCUGUUAGUAGAUAAAAAUCAAAGAGUGUUCCUAUCGGAUCAAUAUCCUCCACUCUCUCCAGUGACAUUUUCAAGAAAUCUCAGCAUUUCUACCAGCUGGAAGUGCACUGGAGUGAAUCAUGUUUAGCAGGUAUUGAUAAGGCCGAUAAGAGCCUGCCUCUUGAUAUCAUCUGAAUUCCCAAAGUCCUGUGAUCAUGCGCCGUUUCCCCUCUCAGUUCAUACAUGAUAUACUGCACAAAAGACUACAUAUUUUCCGUGUAAUCCACAGCUAAAGAGCCCUCAUUUAUUUGCUGCACCCCUCCUAUUUUUGCUUGCUCAAUCCUUAGCUGUUUUUACUGCAGGUUAGGAAGGGAAACCAUCUUAUCUGUGACUGGGGGGAUUUAUUAGUGCGAAAAAGAUAAUUGCUAUUCAUAGGCCACUGGGGGCUGAUUUACAACCACUAAUAUUUAGGAUUCCUAGAGCCGUUUUUCAGCUUUUUUUU